GGAGAGUACAGCUCAGUGGUAGAGUGAGUGCUUAGCAUGCAAAAGGCACUGGGUUCAAUCUCCAGUACCUCCA
rnacentral:tRNA from 1 species